GACGAACGCUGGCGGCGUGGAUUAGGCAUGCAAGUCGAACGGUAUCAUCCUUUCGGGGGUGAGAGAGUGGCGAACUGGUGAGUAACACGUAGGUUAUCUACCCUCAAGACGGGGACAACCCAGGGAAACUUGGGCUAAUACCGGAUGUGAGCAACUUUUAGUUGUUUGAAAGGUGGCGUAAGCUGUCGCUUGGGGAUGAGCCUGCGUCCUAUUAGUUAGUUGGUGAGGUAACGGCUCACCUAGGCAAUGAUAGGUAGGCGGCCUUAACGGGUGGUCGCCCACACUGGGAUUGAGAUACGGCCCAGACUCCUACGGGAGGCAGCAGUCGAGAAUAGUCUACAAUGGUCGGAAGACUGAUAGUGCGACGCCGCGUGAACGAUGAAUCCCUUCGGGGUUAAAGUUCUUUUAUAUGUGAGCAGUGCUUCUUAUAUUAACAGUAUGGGGAAGAGAUAUUAGCAUAUGAAUAAGCAACGGCUAAACUCCGUGCCAAGCAGCCGCGGUAAAA
rnacentral:rRNA from 1 species